GAUGAACGCUGGCGGUGUGCCUAACACAUGCAAGUCGAACGGAGUCCAGCCUUAGAGACCUUCGGGUCAAAGAGGGGAAGACUGAGUGGCGGACGGGUGAGUAACACGUGGGCAACCUGGCUCAUAGAGGGGGAUAACAGAGAGAAAUUUCUGCUAAUACCGCAUAAGCACACACUGCCGCAUGGCAGAGUGUGAAAAGAGAAUCGCUAUGAGAUGGACCCGCGUCUGAUUAGCCAGUUGGCAGGGUAAGAGCCUACCAAAGCGACGAUCAGUAGCCGAUUUGAGAGGAUGAACGGCCACAUUGGGACUGAGACACGGCCCAAACUCCUACGGGAGGCAGCAGUGGGGGAUAUUGCACAAUGGGGGGAACCCUGAUGCAGCGACGCCGCGUGAGUGAAGAAGUAUUUCGGUAUGUAAAGCUCUAUCAGCAGGGAAGAUAAUGACAGUACCUGAAUAAGAAGCCCCGGCUAACCACGUG
rnacentral:rRNA from 1 species